rnacentral:rRNA from 1 species
AUUGAACGCUGGCGGCAUGCUUUACACAUGCAAGUCGAACGGCAGCGCGGGCUUCGGCCUGGCGGCGAGUGGCGAACGGGUGAGUAAUGCAUCGGAACGUGCCCAGUAGUGGGGGAUAGCCCGGCGAAAGCCGGAUUAAUACCGCAUACGACCUGAGGGUGAAAGCGGGGGACCGAAAGGCCUCGCGCUAUUGGAGCGGCCGAUGUCGGAUUAGCUAGUUGGUGGGGUAAAGGCUUACCAAGGCGACGAUCCGUAGCUGGUCUGAGAGGACGACCAGCCACACUGGGACUGAGACACGGCCCAGACUCCUACGGGAGGCAGCAGUGGGGAAUUUUGGACAAUGGGGGCAACCCUGAUCCAGCCAGGCCGCGUGCGGGAAGAAGGCCUUCGGUUUGUAAAACGCUUUUGUUCGGGAAGAAAUCCUCUGGGCUAAUACCCCGGGGGGAUGACGGUACCGGAAUAAUAAGCACCGGCUAACUACGUG